GGUGAACGUAAAAGUGAUGGUUCAACUUUUCUUGAACCUCCUUUAAAAGGGGAAACCGGUUAAAGUCCGGUGCGGUCCCGCCACUGUAAUGGUGAGCCUCGAUCAUCGAUCUCUGAGUGUGCUCGGGAUGAUGGUCGCUGUGCUGUGAACCUGAGCCAGAUGACCUGCCUUUUUCUAAAAACGCCC
rnacentral:ncRNA from 2 species